GUCAACGGUCACAUGGUACACUCGUCAGAAAAUUUUCAGAAUGAUUCGCCGCCAUCUUCUUUCUUGCUGGGUCUCUCAUCCUUCCAGAGUUGCACCACUCUGCUUUGCUGUGUCUGGUGUGUAACUCUUCAAUGAGAUGGUACUGCAAGUGCUGUAGUUUCUCCUCACCAAAACAGCGCACACUAAUCACCCAUUACAAACUGAAGCAUUGUAAUCAGGCAAGAAAUUGUUCUCUUCCCUGUGUCUAUGGGGACUGUGUGUGUUCCUUCAGGCCUGCCCUUUUUACUGAAAGACAGAUUGUCAAGGAAUUCACCCAUUUGAUGUCAGUGGACCUCUAUUCAUUCUAUGAAGGACUAGAUGGAAAUCUCCAGAAACUGCUUCUGCUGAGAGAAACCUUUCCCGCUCUUAAAGAUGUGUGAAGAUGUCUAAGAAACGUUUCAAAUUCAAACAUAUGUAGUUUAUCAGAAAGGAUUGUCAGUCUUUUAAGAUCAUACUUGUAGAUUACCUAAAUUGUGUAUUUACCCAAAAUAUCUUCACAUAAGAAUAUGAAGUGUAAUGGUACAGUAUUUGUUUUAGAACUUUCCUGUUUUUUAUAAAAACUUUUUUUAUAAAUUUGGCUUUAAAGAU